rnacentral:rRNA from 1 species
UUUCUUUGCUGCGACCGGCGCACGGGUGAGUAACACGUAUCCAACCUGCCCUUUACUCGGGAUAGCCUUUCGAAAGAAAGAUUAAUACCCGAUAGCAUAAUGAUUCCGCAUGGUUUCAUUAUUAAAGGAUUCCGGUAAAGGAUGGGGAUGCGUUCCAUUAGGUUGUUGGUGAGGUAACGGCUCACCAAGCCUUCGAUGGAUAGGGGUUCUGAGAGGAAGGUCCCCCACAUUGGAACUGAGACACGGUCCAA